GGCUUGGUGGUCUAGCGGUAUGAUUCUCGCUUAGGGUGAUACCCUUUAAGUUCAAUUUGCGAGAGGUCCCGGGUUCAAUCCCCGGCCAAGCCC